rnacentral:tRNA from 1 species
UGGCCGGUAGCCAAGCGGUAAGGCACCGGGUUUUGGUCCCGGCAUGCGUAGGUUCGAAUCCUACCCGGCCAGCCA